UAAGACAUGCAAGUCGAACGAGACUUUUCGUUGUAGCAAUACGAUGGAAAGUUAGUGGCGAACGGGUGCUUAACACGUGGGCAACCUGCCAGGAAGUGGGGGAUAGCUCGCCGAAAGGCGAAUAAUACCGCAUGUGAUUAGAGAGGACAUCCUUUCAAAAUUAAAGUCGGGGCAACCUGACGCUUCUUGUGGGGCCCGCGGCCUAUCAGCUAGUUGGUGAGGUAACGGCCCACCAAGGCUUUGACGGGUAGCUGGUCUGAGAGGACGACCAGCCACACUGGGACUGAGACACGGCCCAGACACCUACGGGUGGCAGCAGUCGACAAUUUUUGACAAUGGGGGAAACCCUGAUCGAGCGACGCCGCGUGGAGGAUGAAGGUCUUCGGAUUGCAAACUCCUGUCAUUGGGGAACAAUGCACAGAUAUUAACUGUAUUUGUGUUGAUAGUACCCGAAGAGGAAGAGACGGCUAACUCUGUGCCAGCAGCCGCGGUAAUACAGAGGUCUCAAGCGUUGUUCGGAUUCAUUGGGCGUAAAGGGUGCGUAGGCGGCGCGGUAA
rnacentral:rRNA from 1 species